rnacentral:rRNA from 1 species
AACGAACGCUGGCGGCAGGCCUAACACAUGCAAGUCGAGCGCCCCGCAAGGGGAGCGGCGGACGGGUGAGUAACACGUGGGAAUUUUCCUCAAGGUACGGAACAACUCAGGGAAACUUGGGCUAAUACCGUAUGAUGCAGAGAUGCCAAAGAUUUAUCGCCUUGGGAUAAGCCCGCGUCAGAUUAGGUAGUUGGUGGGGUAAUGGCCUACCAAGCCUGUGAUCUGUAGCUGGUCUGAGAGGACGAUCAGCCACAUUGGGACUGAGACACGGCCCAGACUCCUACGGGAGGCAGCAGUGGGGAAUAUUGGACAAUGGGCGAAAGCCUGAUCCAGCAAUGCCGCGUGGAUGAAGAAGGUCUUCGGAUUGUAAAGUCCUUUCGGCGGGGACGAUGAUGACGGUACCCGCAGAAGAAGCCCCGGCUAACUUCGUG